CCUACGGGAGGCAGCAGUAGGGAAUAUUGGGCAAUGGAGGCAACUCUGACCCAGCCAUGCCGCGUGCAGGAUGACGGCCCUCUGGGUUGUAAACUGCUUUUAUACGGGAAGAAAAAAUACUACGUGUAGUAUACUGACGGUACCGUAAGAAUAAGGAUCGGCUAACUCCGUGCCAGCAGCCGCGGUAAUACGGAGGAUCCAAGCGUUGUCCGGAUUUAUUGGGUUUAAAGGGUGCGUAGGCGGAUUUUUAAGUCAGUGGUGAAAGCCUGCAGCUUAACUGUAGAAUUGCCAUUGAAACUGAAAAUCUUGAAUUUGGUUAAAGUAGGCGGAAUGUAUCAUGUAGCGGUGAAAUGCUUAGAUAUGAUGCAGAACACCGAUAGCGAAGGCAGCUUGCUGAACCAAUAUUGACGCUGAGGCACGAAAGCGUGGGGAGCGAACAGGAUUAGAUACCCUGGUAGUCCACGCCCUAAACGUUGAUUACUCGUUGUUGGCGAUAUACUGUCAGCGACCAAGCUAAAGCGUUAAGUAAUCCACCUGGGAAGUACGACCGCAAGGUUGAAACUCAAAGGAAUUGACGG
rnacentral:rRNA from 1 species